rnacentral:rRNA from 1 species
GGAGGCAGCAGUGGGGAAUUUUCCGCAAUGGGCGAAAGCCUGACGGAGCAAUACCGCGUGAGGGAUGACUGCCUAUGGGUUGUAAACCUCUUUUUUCAGGGAGGAACAAAAUGACGUGUACCUGAAGAAUAAGCAUCGGCUAACUCCGUGCCAGCAGCCGCGGUAAGACGGAGGAUGCAAGUGUUAUCCGGAAUCGCUGGGCGUAAAGCGUCUGUAGGUGGUUUAAUAAGUCAACUGUUAAAUCUUGAGGCUUAACCUCAAAAUCGCAGUCGAAACUGCUUGACUAGAGUAUAGUAGGGGUAAAGGGAAUUUCCAGUGGAGCGGUGAAAUGCGUAGAUAUUGGAAAGAACACCGAUGGCGAAGGUACUUUACUGGGCUAUUACUAACACUGAGAGACGAAAGCUAGGGUAGCAAAUGGGAUUAGAUACCCCAGUAGUCCUAGCCGUAAACAAUGGAUACUAGAUGUUGAACAGAUCGACCUGUGCAGUAUCAAAGCUAACGCGUUAAGUAUCCCGCCUGGGAAGUAUGCUCGCAAGAGUG